CACCCAGCUGAGGAGCUAGCACAAGUUUAGAAUGAGCCUGUCACUGAGGGACAUCUUCAUGCACCUGUCGUAAGGAUGAGCUCGCCUACGCCACAAAAAACACACAUCUCAUCAUACACGAGAUAAAUACCAUACAAGAUGGUACCACUGGACACGGACAAAACCACGAACGAGAGGCCGACUGUCACACAGGGCUCGUCCACCUCCACCGCCGCCUUUUCCUCCUCCUCCUCCAUCACCACCACCACCAUCUCUCCCUCCGCCAUCAUCAAGGUCCGAGUCGGAGUUGAAUUCCUCCUCGCCGUGAAUCAUUCGUACGAGGCCAAACCGGAGGGACCCUCUAUACUUCCUGGAGACCAAGUCGUGGGAGAAGAGAAGCCGCUGAGACCCGUCGGCCGUGGGAGACAGGGCCAUGGAUAGCGGCUCGGAGCACGGACUUGCCGCGGGGGAAAGGCCCGGGGUCGGGGAUGGAGGCUGGGCUGUGUCCGUCGAAUCGUGUGCUGCGGGCUCCGCCAUCGCUGCUGUUGUCAGGGAGUGAUGCUGGAGCGCUCAGACGACA